AACAAACGCUGGCGGCGUGCCUAACACAUGCAAGUCGUACGAGAAAGGGUCCUUCGGGGCCUGAGUACAGUGGCGCACGGGUGAGUAACACGUGGAUAAUCUGCCCUUCAGCGAGGAAUAACCCAUCGAAAGGUGGGCUAAUACCUCAUAACGCUGCGAUACCCCGGGAUGGCAGCCAAAGAUAGCCUCUGCUUGCAAGCUUUCACUGAAGGAGGAGUUCGCGUCCCAUUAGCUGGUUGGUGGGGUAAUGGCCUACCAAGGGGACGAUGGUUGGCGGGUCGGCGAGUGUGACCAGCCAGACUGGACCUGAGAGAGCGUCCCGAAUCCUACGGGAGGCAGCAGUCAGGAAUCUUGCGCAAUGGGGGAAACCCCGACGGAGCAACGCCGCGUGAGUGGGGAAGGUAUUCGGAUCGUAAAGCUCUGUCGGGUAGAAAGAUGUGGGGAAAGGUGAACAGCCUUUCUCCUUGACGGUACCACCGCAGGAAGCACCGGCUAACUCCGAGCCAGCAGCCGCAGUAA
rnacentral:rRNA from 1 species